AUGCAGAGCAAAAAUGCUGCUGUCAUUGGUGCCUCCACCACCACGGGCACGGUGUGCAUCACAUUGACCUGUCACCUCUCUCUGUUGCUCAGAGAUGUGGUGAUGCUCCAUCCCUGCAGACAGCCGAGGUCAGGCUGGAUGGGCUCCAAGCACCUGGUGGAGCUGUGGGUGCUCCAUUUCAUCACACAGGGGAAUGGGACCAAGCGGCCUUUAAAGGUCCCUCCAACCUCGAGCCGUUCUGUGAUGCCACGAAGGGGGAUUUCCCUCACAGGAUCACAGACUUCGUGCCGUCGACGGUGUUCUCCUCCCGCAGCGCUGCGGGGCCGGGCGGUGCAGCGGCUGCCGCGGCCACACGGUGGUAGGAGAAGCCCCGGCAGCGCUGCGGGCUCCGCUCCGCUCUGCUCCAUUCCCCCCCUGCCCGCAGCCCCGGCCGCAGCUGUGACGAACGGAGAGCACAAAACUCUUGUACGAAGGGCUGAGGAACCGGCCAGCACCAGUGCGAGGUGCCGAAUUGCCACAGCUCGGGAGUUGCGUUCACUGAAGUCUGAGGGUCCUGGACUCCCUGUUCUGCAGCUGAGUGCUCCAUCUGCAAGAGAUUGUUUCUUGACAUGAAAAAUUUACUUUUUAAUGGGCCAAACUGCUACACUCUCUAAGCUGGAUCCAAAAUAACCUCUUAGCACAUUGCUCUGAAGGGAUCUCCAGCUACCGACCAUAAAACUGAAGCACUGCUCCUACUAAAAACCCAUUUACAAGCCAUUCCCUCCUUGUCCUUUUGCUUUCACACUGUGGUUCUAAAGCUCUGGUGCUCACUUCUGGAAAUGGAAAAUGAUCUUUUGGAACUGAACAACUCACAGAUUUUAUUUCAUCUGCAUUCUUUUCUUCCCGGGAUCCAAGGAGGCUGUGGAUGCCCCCCAUCCCUGCAGGCAUUCGAGGCCAGGCUGGAUGUGGCUCUGGGCAGCCAGGUCUGCUGGUUGGUGACCCUGCGCAUUGCAGGGGGUUGAAAUGAGAUGAUCAUUGUGGUCCUUUUCAAGCCAGGCCAUUCAAUGGUUCUAUGAAAUGGCAAUGAAGUGGCACUGGAGCUGGAGAGGAGGGCAGAGAGCUCAGUGCUGCCUGGAGAUGCUGGGAAGUGCCUCAUCCCUCCCUUAAUCUUCAUUUUUUUGUUUCAGUCGUCUCUUAAUUGUGAAAUAUUCAGCCUUUUGUGUGCAUAAUGAUGGGGCAAAAGAUAGUGAUAAAAUAGUUUAAAUUAAUAAGAUUAUUAAGUAACCUCUGCUGCUGGUAAUUCCUCACUCGAGCGGGUGCGCGCCGCGCUGUAAUUAGUUUUCUGCUUCGCUGGAGCAUGCUUCAAGUAGCGGGGAGGAUUUGGGGGAGAGAAUGCUGUAAAGCUGAGCUGGUGAUGGAACACAUUUGUGACGGUUGGGGAUGAGAGUGUGCUGUCCCUGGGGUGGGACGUGGCUGCAGGGCUGUGCCUGCAUCCAAGGGCAGGUGGCACAGACAGGGUUCCUGGUGUGGGGUUUGUGCUUCUGCCCAAAGCCUGCAUGCAGGGUGCCCUGUUUGGCAGAUCUCUGCCCUGAGCUUCUGUUGGUGGAUGAGUGAAUGCUGCUGCAAUAGGAGCAGAGGAGGUGAUGCCCCGAGAGAAGGGGAGCCCUCAGUCUGUUAGCCUGGCAAAUAAUGGAUAACGGGUCGAUGCCUUCAGCCUGGGUUGGCAGUGGUAAUGGAUGGCCUCACAGGUAAAUUAUCUCAUCCGAGCCACAAAAUGAUGUCCUCCUUCUAGGAAAUGGGGAGAAUAAAAAUCUAUUCUUUGUUCUGAAACA
rnacentral:lncRNA from 1 species